rnacentral:rRNA from 1 species
CCUCCUUUCUUCCUCCUUUCUGCCUCUUGGUCCAUGGGCGCGCGCCUGCACCAGCCAAGUCGCGUGAGGGAGUACUGCCCUAUGGGUUGUAAACCUCUUUUGUCGGGGAGCAAAAGCCGGACGUGUCCGGCUGUGAGAGUACCCGAAGAAAAAGCAUCGGCUAACUCCGUGCCAGCAGCCGCGGUAAUACGGAGGAUGCGAGCGUUAUCCGGAUUUAUUGGGUUUAAAGGGUGCGCAGGCGGAUUUUUAAGUCAGCGGUCAAAUCGUGGGGCUCAACCCCAUCCAGCCGUUGAAACUGGGGAUCUAGAGUGUGCGAGAGGUAUGCGGAAUGCGUGGUGUAGCGGUGAAAUGCAUAGAUAUCACGCAGAACCCCGAUUGCGAAGGCAGCAUACCGGUGCACAACUGACGCUCAGGCACGAAAGCGUGGGUAUUGAACAGGAUUAGAUACCCGGGUAGUC